rnacentral:rRNA from 1 species
GACGAACGCUGGCGGCGUGCUUAACACAUGCAAGUCGAACGGAAAGGCCCUGCUUUUGUGGGGUGCUCGAGUGGCGAACGGGUGAGUAACACGUGAGUAACCUGCCCUUGACUUUGGGAUAACUUCAGGAAACUGGGGCUAAUACCGGAUAGGAGCUCCUGCUGCAUGGUGGGGGUUGGAAAGUUUCGGCGGUUGGGGAUGGACUCGCGGCUUAUCAGCUUGUUGGUGGGGUAGUGGCUUACCAAGGCUUUGACGGGUAGCCGGCCUGAGAGGGUGAACGGCCACAAUGGGACUGAGAUACGGCCCAGACUCCUACGGGAGGCAGCAGUGGAGAAUAUUGCACAAUGGGCGGAAGCCUGAGGCAGCAGCGCCGCGUGCGGGAUGACGGCCUUCGGGUUGUAAACCGCUUUCGCCUGUGACGAAGCGUGAGUGACGGUAAUGGGUAAAGAAGCACCGGCUAACUACGUG